UGGGGAAUAUUGCACAAUGGGCGAAAGCCUGAUGCAGCGACGCCGCGUGCGGGAUGAAGGCCUUCGGGUUGUAAACCGCUUUUAAUUGGGAGCAAGCGAGAGUGAGUGUACCUUUUGAAUAAGCACCGGCUAACUACGUGCCAGCAGCCGCGGUAAUACGUAGGGUGCAAGCGUUAUCCGGAAUUAUUGGGCGUAAAGAGCUCGUAGGCGGUUUGUCACGCCUGGUGUGAAAGUCCAUCGCUUAACGGUGGAUCUGCGCCGGGUACGGGCAGGCUAGAGUGCAGUAGGGGAGAUUGGAAUUCCCGGUGUAACGGUGGAAUGUGUAGAUAUCGGGAAGAACACCAAUGGCGAAGGCAGAUCUCUGGGCUGUUACUGACGCUGAGGAGCGAAAGCAUGGGGAGCGAACAGGAUUAGAUACCCUGGUAGUCCAUGCCGUAAAACGGUGGAUGCUGGAUGUGGGACCCUUCCACGGGUUCCGUGUCGGAGCUAACGCGUUAAGCAUCCCGCCU
rnacentral:rRNA from 1 species